rnacentral:rRNA from 1 species
CUGGAAGGGGUGUAUUUAUUAGAUAAAAAUCAACUUUGUUGGUGAAUCAUAAUAACUUCUCGGACCGCAUGGCCUCGUGCUGGCGGUGCUUCAUUCAAAUAUCUGCCCUAUCAACUGUCGAUGGUAGGAUAGAGGCCUACCAUGGUUGCAACGGGUAACGGGGAAUAAGGGUUCGAUUCCGGAGAGGGAGCCUGAGAAACGGCUACCACAUCCAAGGAAGGCAGCAGGCGCGCAAAUUACCCAAUCCCAACACGGGGAGGUAGUGACAAUAUGUAACAAUAUACGGCCUUAUACGUCGUAUAAUUGGAAUGAGUACAAUUUAAAUCCCUUAACGAGGAACGAUUGGAGGGCAAGUCUGGUGCCAGCAGCCGCGGUAAUUCCAGCUCCAAUAGCGUAUAUUAAAGUUGUUGCAGUUAAAAAGCUCGUAGUUGGACCUUGGACCUGGACAGGCGGUCCGCCUCACGGCGAGUACUGUCUUGCUGGGUCUUUCCUCUUGGUGAUCUGUUGUUUCGGCAGCAGGGAACCAGGACCUUUACUUUGAAAAAAUUAGAGUGUUCAAAGCAGGCUCGACGCCGG